rnacentral:rRNA from 1 species
UUGAAUUUGUCCCGGAAUUUACUGCCGACGUGGGCAUUAAAAAAGGCGAAAAAGUCGACUAUGCGAUCAUUUUGGAUGGCGAGCCUCAAAUCCUAAUUGAAUGUAAAUCAAUUACAGAAAACCUUACUAAGCACGACUCUCAACUAUUCAGAUAUUUCGUAACUACUAAAUCAAAAUUCGGUAUCUUGACAAAUGGUAGAGAAUAUAAAUUCUUUACUGAUUUAGAUGAGCCAAAUAAAAUGGACACAACUCCAUUCUUAACAAUCGAUGUGACUGAUAUCAAAGAAAAUCAAUUUACUGAAAUCAUCAAAUUCCACAAAGAGAAUUUUGAUAUUGAUAAUAUUGUUUCAUCAGCUUCUGAAUUGAAAUACCUCAACAAUCUUAAAGCGUUCCUUACUGAAAAUAUCACUACACCGUCAGAUAGCUUCCUCAGAUAUCUAACUUCUGAAAUCUAUGAAGGGCGUGUUACUCAAAAUAUCUUAACGACAUUUUCUCCCAUUAUUGUGAAAGGGUUUAAUCAAUUCAUCACAGAGCGAGUUAAUGAAAAAUUAAGUGCUGCACUUAAUACAAGCGUUGAAACCAAAGUAACAACCGAUAUUCCAAAAGUUGAAGCUGAAGCUGAAGAGAUUGUCGAAGUAACUGACGAAAUUAUCACAACUCCUGCUGAAUUAGAAGUUUAUACUGUUGUUAAAAUGCUUGCUAGGGAUGUAGUUUCUCCAGAACGUGUAUUUUACAGAGAUAACCGUAGCUAUUUCAAUGUUUUGGUUGACGAUAACAUCAAAAAAUGGGUAUUACGUUAUCGUUCAAAUUCAAAAAAAAGCACUAUCGAAAUCCGUGAUAAAGGCAUCUUCCCGGUGUCUACCCCUCUCGAAGUCGCAAAUUAUGCCAAUGAAAUUUUAGAAGUAAUCAAGAAAUUCUCAUAAUAAAAAAAGCCCUCUUUACUAUACCCAUUUUAUCAAAAAAGUGAGGUAAAAUCAAUGUGGAUGGAAGAAUUGCCAAACGGCAAAUAUAAAUUUUUUGAGAGAUACAAAGAUCCAUAUACUGAGAAAUUAAAAAAAGUCUCAGUAACGAUGGAGAAAAAAACUCCCCAAGCAAGAAAUCAAGCUGCGAUUUUACUUCAGGAAAAGAUAAAACAAAAGUUAGGAGAAAAACAACAUUCUGUUUCUAAUAUAACUUUUGAAAAACUAUAUGAAGAAUUUGAGGAGAAUUGGAAACACGGCGUAAAAAACUCAACCGUCUACGCUUCAAAGAAUGUAAAAAAAGAGAUUUUAAAGCAGAUAGAGGGCGACUACCUAGUUAGAAAUAUUGAUAGACGUUUAUUACAAAAAGUAAUAGAUCAACUAUUACAAGAUGGGAGAUCUCAUAACUAUGUUUCUAAAAUCAAAUUCAAGCUCAAUCAGAUAAUGAAAUUUGCUAUCAGAAUGAAUUAUAUUGAUACAAAUGAAAUGCUAUUUGUUGAAACGCCUAGAAAAGUAAUUACAUCCGACGAACUCAGAAAGAAAAAUACAAAAUACUUAGACCAAAAAGAGUUUAAGUUAUUCAUCCAAAAUUUAAAAGACGAGGCCCUAUGUGAUUAUCGAAUUACAAAGUAUAUCCGAAUAGCUAAAGUUCUUUUUCUUACUGGCAUGAGGUAUGGAGAGCUGGCAGCCUUAAACUACAAGGAAGAUAUAGAUUUUUCUAAAAAGACUAUUCACAUCAAGCAUACAUACGAUUUCAGACAAAAAGAGAGAACUACACCAAAGACAAUCAAGUCCGAUAGGGUUAUAACAGCACCUCAAAAAGUGUUAGAUAUUAUCAAAGAGCAAAUAAUAGAGAAUGCGACAAAUGGAUUUGAUACAGAUUUUAUUUUCAUCAAUACUCUAGGAGAACCAAUAACAAAUGCCAGGGUUAUUUGUGCAUUGAAAAGACAUGGUCAAAAAAUCGGCAUAGAAAAAAACAUAACUACACAUACAUUUAGACAUUCUCACAUAUCCCUACUUGCUGAGCUGGGCAUUCCCUUGACUGCCAUCAUGGACAGAGUAGGGCAUAGUGACUCAAAGACCACACUAGAGAUUUAUUCUCACGUUACUCAAAAAAUGGUAUCAGACAUAUCUAGCAAGUUAGACAAGAUAAAAUUUUAAAGACUCUUUGUCAACUGUAGUGGGUUGAAGUCAGCUAAGCUCGAGAAAGGACAAAUUUUGUCCUUUCUUUUUUGAUAUUCAGAGCGAUAAAAAUCCGUUUUUUGAAGUUUUCAAAGUUCCGAAAACCAAAGGCAUUGCGCUUGAUAAGUUUGAUGAGAUUAUUGGUCGCUUCCAAUUUGGCGUUNAUCUGUAACAUUGAGCUGUGAUGGGGAGCGAAGUUUAGUAGCGAAGUUAGUGACGUCACACUGCCAAGAAAAGCUUCUAGCGUUUAAACAUACUCUACCCGUACCGCAAACCGACACAGGUAGUCGAGGCGAGUAGCCUCAGGUGAGCGAGAGAACUCUCGUUAAGGAACUCGGCAAAAUGACCCCGUAACUUCG